AUACUUACUUUAAUCGAGUCGAUUGGUGAUCAGGAAGGCUCAAGGCCUAGGUCAGCAACCCUUGCUGUACUCCAAUGGAGCUACCAUCUUCCCAAGUGGGAGAGUGGCCAUCAUAUUUAGGUUGGACCAGAUUAAUUUUCAAAUCGGUUCCAAA